rnacentral:rRNA from 1 species
UACGGAGGGAGCUAGCGUUGUUCGGAAUACUGGGCGUAAAGCGCACGUAGGCGGCUUUGUAAGUUAGAGGUGAAAGCCCGGGGCUCAACCCCGGAAUUGCCUUUAAGACUGCAUCGCUUGAAUCCGGGAGAGGUGAGUGGAAUUCCGAGUGUAGAGGUGAAAUUCGUAGAUAUUCGGAAGAACACCAGUGGCGAAGGCGGCUCACUGGACCGGUAUUGACGCUGAGGUGACGAAAGCGUGGGGAGCAAACAGG